rnacentral:lncRNA from 1 species
GCAAUUUUAAAAGGAUUUUUAUCUUUAGAUAUAAAUAUUGUUACCGCUGUUGGCCGGUGACGAGUCCUUGCUUCCCCAAUGAUGAAGAAUAACACCAAAGAAGCACGCCGAGGCAAGGUCAGAGUGGAAAAUUAGAAGUUUAUUAAAGGACAGCAGAAAAGACUUCUCCCGGAGGAAGAAGGCGACCCAAGAGGUGGAAUCCGUGGAAGUGCGGUUGUCUCCCCUUUUUAUAGUUUUGGUGAUGGAAUGUAGGGGGAAGUGUUGGAACACAGGUAAUCUGGGCAGGAAGGACUUCUUUGGGAUGGGCUAUCUUCAAAUCUGCUGGGGCUGUUCCCUGGGUUCCAUUAACAUUUCUUUGGGGUGGACUUUGGCCUAGGGCCUUUCCAGGACUUCAUUAACAUUCCAUGAGUUGUCCUGGUUUCCCGGAAUCAUUGUCAGCAUGGCCUCCAUUUUAGAUUUCACUCGAUAUGAUAUUAGACCCAAUUUACCUAACUAUACUGACUACCUAAUUUUAAAUCUGGCUUCAAUAUGACUAUGUUUCUGAAUAAAAAGAUAUAAUGUUUGAGACUUGCUUCAAAAUAUUCUGGUAGAUAAGGGGCAGGGGGGAAGGGGAUAUGAAUGAAUAAGUUAGUAAUGGUUGAAGUUAGAUAAGGUUUGAGCAUGGAGUUAUAUUUCUCCUUUGUAUGUUUGGAAGUUUUCACAAUAAAAAGUUUUCCCACCUUUUUGUCAUGUUAAAAUAGAAAGCACAUAAUAUUUACUAUCUUAACCAUUUUAAGUAUGCAAUUCAUAAUGAAUUCAUAAUGUUGUACAUUCAUUACCACCAUUCAUCUCCAUAAUUAUUUUCAUCUUGUAAAACUGAAAUUCUAUUUCCACUAAACAAUAACUUCCCAUUCUCACUUUUCACAGCUUUGGCAAUCACCAAUUUUCUGUCUCUAUGAUUUUUUUUUUUUUACUAAUCUAAAUAUCUCCUAUGAGUGGAAUCAUACAGUAUUUUUUCUUGUGACCAAUUCAUCCAUGUUGUAGCAUAUGUCAGAAUUACCUUCCUUUAAAAAAGCUGAAUAAUCUCCCAUGGUAUGUAUAUGCCAUAUUUUGUUUAUCCAUUCAUCUGUUGAUGGACUAUUCAUAAUAUGUGUCCAUAAUAUGGACACAUAUUAUGAAUAGUGCUGUUAUGAGUGCAUACAUAUCUCUUCAAAAUCUUCUUUUCUUGGGGCUGGGGCUGUAGCUCAGUGGUAGAACGCUUGCCUAGCAUAUGUGAGGCACUGGGUUUGAUCCUCAGUACCACAUAAAUAAAAUAAAGUUAUUAAAAAAUUCCCCCAUUAAAACACCAAGAAGCAGAAUUGAUGGACAAAUGGUAACUCUAUUUUUAAUUUUUUUGAAGAACCACCAUACUGUUAUAAUUUUUUAAAAUAUUUAUUUUUUAGUUUUAGGUGGACACAAUACCUUUAUUUUAUUUUUAUGUGGUGUUGAGGAUCAAACCCAGCGUCCUGCGCAUGCCAGGUGAGUGCGCUACCGCUUGAGCCACAUCCCCAGCCCCACCGUACUGUUUUCUACAAUGGUUGUACCAUUUUAAUUCCUAUCAAAGUACACACAAAGAUUCCAAUUUUUCGACAUUCUUGCUAACACUUGCUAUUUUCUGUUUUUCUUUUUUCCAAUAGUAGCCAUACAAAUGGGUGUGAGCUGGUGCCUCAUUGUGACUGUAAGAUGUGGUCUUGCUACAUUGCUCAAGUUGGUAUUGACCUCUUGGCCUCAAGUGAUCCACCAACUCAGCUUCCUGAAUAGCUGGGUCAUGCCACCAGGCCCAGCUUUUUUUGUGGUUUUGAUGUAUAUUUCCCUAAUGAUUAAUCAAGAGUCUUUUCACUUCCUCAUUGGCCACUUUUGGCCAUUUUUUUUAAGAGAGAAUUUUAAUAUUAAUUUUUUAGUUCUCGGCAGACACAACAUCUCUGUUUUGUAUGUGGUGCUGAGGAUCGAACCCGGGCCGCACGCAUGCCAGGCGAGCAUGCUACCGCUUGAGCCACAUCCCCAGCCCCAAGUUUUGGCCAUUUUUAAAUCAGGUUUUUUGAGUUUUUGUUGUUGAGUUUUAGAGUUAUCUAUGUAUUCUGGAUACUAACACCUUAUCAGAGAGACAACUUGUAAAUAUUUUCUCCCACUGUGUGGAUUGCCUUUUUAUUGUGCUGAUGUUAUCUUUACAACUUUAAAUGUUUUUCAUGACGUCCAAUUUACAUAUUUUUUCUUUUGUUGCCUGUGCCUUUGAUGUCAUAUUCAAUAAAUCAUUGCAAAAAUCAAUGUCA